UACAGAGGUCCCGAGCGUUGUUCGGAUUCAUUGGGCGUAAAGGGUGCGUAGGCGGCUUUCUAAGUCCGUUGUGAAAUCCUGGGGCUCAACCCUGGAACUGCAUUGGAUACUGGGAGGCUAGAGUACUGGAGAGGAAACUGGAAUUUACGGUGUAGCAGUGAAAUGCGUAGAGAUCGUAAGGAAGACCAGUGGCGAAGGCGAGUUUCUGGACAGUUACUGACGCUGAGGCACGAAGGCCAGGGGAGCAAACGGG
rnacentral:rRNA from 1 species